UGGGGAAUAUUGGACAAUGGGCGAAAGCCUGAUCCAGCCAUGCCGCGUGUGUGAAGAAGGUCUUCGGAUUGUAAAGCACUUUAAGUUGGGAGGAAGGGCAUUAACCUAAUACGUUGGUGUCUUGACGUUACCGACAGAAUAAGCACCGGCUAACUCUGUGCCAGCAGCCGCGGUAAUACAGAGGGUGCAAGCGUUAAUCGGAAUUACUGGGCGUAAAGCGCGCGUAGGUGGUUUGUUAAGUUGAAUGUGAAAUCCCCGGGCUCAACCUGGGAACUGCAUCCAAAACUGGCAAGCUAGAGUAUGGUAGAGGGUAGUGGAAUUUCCUGUGUAGCGGUGAAAUGCGUAGAUAUAGGAAGGAACACCAGUGGCGAAGGCGACUACCUGGACUGAUACUGACACU
rnacentral:rRNA from 1 species